UUAAAGUUUUAUUUUAGUUUAAAAGUUAAUUAUUAGAUUUUUUUAUAUGUAAAUUUUUGUGCAAUAAUAUUUUAAUAAUAAUAUAAGCAGUAUAAAGUUUUAAAUUUUAAAUAAUUUUAGAUUUAGAAAUUUUUUUUAGUAUAAACAAAAUUUGUGCCAGCAGUUGCGGUUAUACAAAUUAUGCAAAUUAAUUUUAUUUAAUAUAAUUAGAUGAUUAUAGAUUAAUUAAAAUUAAAAUUUUUUAAGUGAAAUUUUAAAUUUUAAAAAAUUAAAUAGUUGAAUUGAAGUUAAAAAAUUUUUGUAAUAAACUAGGAUUAGAUACCCUAUUAUUAAAAAUGUAAUUUUANUNNUNANAAAUUAUUAUAAGUUAAGAUCUUUAAAAUUAAAAAUUUUGGCGGUAUUUUAGUCUUUUCAGAGGAACUUGUUUUUUAAUUGAUAUUCCACGAUUUAAUGUACUUUAUUUUUAAAUUUAUAUAUCGUUGUAGUUUGAAAAUUUUAUAAGAAUAAAAAUUUUCAAUAUCUAUAAAAAUAAUAGAAUUCAAAUCAAGGUAUAGUUUAUAAUAAAGAUAAAAUGAGUUACAAUAAAAUUAUUUUUGAAUAAAAAUUUUUAAAAUUUAUUGAAAUUGGAUUUGAAAGUAAUUAAAUUAAAUUAAAUUUAAUGAUUUUGCUCUAGAAUAUGCACAUAUUGCCCGUCGCUUUCAUUUUAAAAUGAAAUAAGUCGUAACAAAGUAGAUUUAUUGGAAAAUGAGUCUAGAAUGAC
rnacentral:ncRNA from 1 species